GUGCCAGCCGCCGCGGUAAUACAGAGGUCCCGAGCGUUGUUCGGAUUCACUGGGCGUAAAGGGUGCGUAGGUGGCGAGGUAAGUCGGAUGUGAAAGCUCGGAGCUCAACUCCGAAAUGGCAUUGGAAACUACCUUGCUCGAGGGUUGGAGGGGGGACUGGAAUACUUGGUGUAGCAGUGAAAUGCGUAGAUAUCAAGUGGAACACCAGUGGCGAAGGCGAGUCCCUGGACAACUCCUGACACUGAGGCACGAAAGCUAGGGGAGCAAACAGGAUUAGAAACCCGCGUAGUCC
rnacentral:rRNA from 1 species